rnacentral:rRNA from 1 species
UACGAAGGGGGCUAGCGUUGUUCGGAAUUACUGGGCGUAAAGCGCGCGCAGGCGGUCUUCCAAGUCAGUGGUGAAAGCCCGGAGCUCAACUCCGGAACUGCCAUUGAAACUGUUAGACUUGAGGAUGAGAGAGGUGAGUGGAAUUCCCAGUGUAGUGGUGAAAUUCGUAGAUAUUGGGAAGAACACCGGUGGCGAAGGCGGCUCACUGGCUCAUUACUGACGCUCAGGCGCGAUAGCGUGGGGAUCAAACAGG